AUUGAACGCUGGCGGCAGGCCUAACACAUGCAAGUCGAGCGGAGCGGCGGAAGGGUGAGUAAUGCCUAGGAAUCUGCCUGGUAGUGAGGGAUAACGUACGGAAACGGGCGCUAAUGCAGCAUACUAUCAGAUGAGCCUAGGUCGGAUUUGCUAGUUGGUGGGGUAAAGGCCUACCAAGGCGACGAUCCAUAACUGGUCUGAGAGGAUGAUCAGGCACACGGGGACUGAGACACGGUCCAGACUCCUACGGGAGGCAGCAGUGGGGAAUAUUGGACAAUGGACGAAAGCCUGAUCCAGCCAUGCCGCGUGUGUGAAGAAGGUCUUCGGAUUGUAAAGCACUUUAAGUAGGGAGGCGUUACCAACAGAAUAAGCACCGGCUAACUGCGUGCCAGCAGCCGCGGUAAUAC
rnacentral:rRNA from 1 species